GUGUCAGCCGCCGCGGUAAUACGUAGGCAGCAAGCGUUGUUCGGAAUUACUGGGCGUAAAGAGUACGUAGGUGGUUUGCCAAGUCCGAUGUGAAAUCUCCUGGCUUAACUGGGAGGGUGCGUUAGAUACUGGCAGGCUUGAGUGUGGGAGAGGAGAGCGGAAUUCCUGGUGUAGCGGUGAAAUGCGUAGAUAUCAGGAGGAACGCCUGUGGUGUAGACGGCUCUCUGGACCAUUACUGACACUGAGGUACGAAAGCGUGGGUAGCAAACAGGAUUAGAAACCCGCGUAGUCC
rnacentral:rRNA from 1 species